CCCAAAUAGACAUCCACAGCGAUCAAACUCUUUCUCUCACAGAAAACGAGCUGUAUUCUCUACUGCCAUGGCUUCCAGGUUGCUAUUCCUCAGAAGGCUCCCAAGGCUUUUAAAGCCUUCUUCUUCUUCUUCGAUCCGUAGAUUCAGUUUUCUGCUUCUAGAAGCUUCGAGGUCUGAGACCACUCGGUGGUCUCCUGCUUGUAGAACCUUCUGCUCUCGUCCACUGAAUCUUGGAGACGACCUUCAAGGCCCCGCCGCCAUUGAUUACAGUUCUGUACUGCAGGAGGAUGAGUUUCACAGGCUAAGCAAUUCCACAAUACAUCACCUCCUAGAGAAACUCGAGGAAUACGGUGAUAAUGUUGAAAUAGAUGGCUUUGACGUAGACUAUGGGAAUGAGGUGUUAACCUUGAAACUUGGGGAUCUGGGUACCUAUGUGUUGAACAAACAAACACCAAAUAGACAAAUUUGGCUAUCUUCCCCGGUGAGGAUGUGUCAGACUUCAAAUAGCUUACCCUCCAACAUUUGUUGCACUUUCAAGCUUUGAUCAACCUGAAAAUAGUUGAUGCUAUCACAACUCAGUAAGUAAUUAAUUCUAUGGCCAAUGAGAUGAAGAUCUUGCUCAAAAAUAAAGAAUUACAGAACUUAAAUCAUCUCAGCAAAGAGAAUCCUGCUUGUUGAAUUCUGCAACUCCAAUCUCUUCUCCCUUACAAACUCUCUGAAGCUCCCAAAAUACUAAAACUGAGUGGUCCGGCUAGGUUUGAUUGGGAUCGGACCGCUCAAACUUGGGUCUAUAGGCGGACGAAAGCAGAUUUGCUGAAAUUGUUAGAAGGUGAGCUGGAGCAACUGUGUGGCGAGCCCGUUGGUCUUUCUUAGAUU